rnacentral:misc_RNA from 1 species
GAAAUGCGAUAAGUAAUGUGAAUUGCAGAAUUCCGUGAAUCAUCGAAUCUUUGAACGCACAUUGCGCCCUCUGGCAUUCCGGGGGGCAUGCCUGUCCGAGCGUCAUUACGCACCCUCAAGCCCGGCUUGUGUGUUGGGCCCCGGCGUCUCGUUCGCGAGACGGGCCCGAAAGGCAGCGGCGGCGUCGACCCGAUGAGCCCGAGCGUAUGGGGACUUCUGUCACACGUUCGCGGUGCGGACCGGCGCCUGCUUGACUUUUCUGAUUAUCCAGGUUGACCUCGGAUCAGGUAGGGAUACCCGCUGAACUUAAGC